rnacentral:lncRNA from 1 species
CCGAUGUUAAAGGAAAAUUCAACGUAAUAAACAGAGUGAUGUCCCAGCAGAAAACUAGCAAACAAAAAUCAUCCAAAUCAUAAAAAUUAAAUCAAAUACGAAAUGAAACGUUAGCGAAAAGAACAAUAUCGGAAAGGAAAACAAACCUUUAUUGCUGCGUAUUUUCUGCCAUGAACAGUGAAAGAAGAUCUCAAUAACAACAAAUCAAAACAAGCGAAUUACUAAUCCAAACCUCGAUGAAUCCUGCCCCCGGCAGACAAAACUCAAACGGUAAUACCUCAGUCGAACUCCAGUAUUUGCAAAACCAAAGUUCCGAAAUACAAACUGAAACAUAAACUAAAAAAACUUCUUCUAUUGCUUGGCUUCGACGAUAGUUUCUGGACUUAGUCGGAACAAGGAUGAUGAAACGUUAGGGGUCCGCUAAUGGAUUUCCGGCCAGAUCCUGCCAUAGACGAUGACGAUGUAGUAGUGUCUCCAAGAGAAGAGAGAUAAGGACGUGUUCUGCUGAAGAAGAUGAAGUGCUGGUGGCAGGGAGGGUCGUGUUCUUGGUUUAUGCCGCUGAAGAAAAAAUGAAAAAAGUGGGGGGAAGGGUCGACGAAGACGAUCUUCAAGGGGAGGGGGGGUCCUGUUUUGCGGCGAAUUGUCAGUUUUUAGUCUAAGGAUCUUAGGUUAGCUCCCUGAAGUAUAGGUUGAAAUACUAUUUCCUUUAGAUCUUAGGCGUAUUUUGGGUUAGCUUUUUGCAGAUCAGAUCGUGGGAGGGGUUUUUCAUUUUUGCUGAAAACGGUCGAUGCCAAUUCUAGAUCUUUUUUUUCUUUGCACUUUUCGGC